UGUUCUUCCUUUACAGAGUAUCUCAAAUCUUUUUGGCCCUGCUCCUGGAAGGUGCUGAGCAUCAUUGCUCCAUAAAGAGGACUGGCCUUUGUGAAGCACUGUGAGAUCUCUUGCCUGGGUAAGGAGACCUUUUCUAAACCAAUCUCCUUCCACUGACAUACCCAUGUGUGAUUUUUGACAUUCAGGUGUUUGGAUCUCUGCAGCUCCUGGUCAUUACAACAACAGUGUCAGCAAGUGGUCAGGACUGGACUCGAGAACUGCCACAUGAAGAGUUAUCAUCCUGCUCCUCCUCCUCCUAGGGUGUCACCUAGUCAGCUAGAGAGGUGACUAAGGCUUGAUUGCCUGCUUCCACCAAAGUGCUUAAUGGGAUGAGAGGAAGUGAGACACAAAAUGUUCUUACUACUAAGGAAUGAAGGAAGAGAAAGUGCAUGACUGAC